GGGCGCGUAGCUCAGCGGGAGAGCACCUCGUUCACACCGAGGGGGUCACAGGUUCAAUCCCUGUCGCGCCCACCA
rnacentral:tRNA from 12 species